AGGACGAACGCUGGCGGCGUGCUUAACACAUGCAAGUCGAGCGGAAAGGCCCUUCGGGGUACUCGAGCGGCGAACGGGUGAGUAACACGUGAGCAACCUGCCCUUAGCUUCGGGAUAGCUCCGGGAAACCGGAAUUAAUACCGAAUAUGACUUUGGCUGACAUCGGCAGAAGUGGAAAGUUUUUCGGCUAGGGAUGGACUCGCGGCCUAUCAGCUAGUUGGUGAGGUAACGGCCCACCAAGGCGACGACGGGUA
rnacentral:rRNA from 1 species